GGAGAGGAAGCAUUGUUGCCGCCAUUUCGUGUACAAGAAGCAGACCGUUCGAGUGGUGCAUACGCGUAAGUGCUUCAACAUUGAGAUCAUUUUGGAGUCUUGCGUAGAUUUCAGAACUAGCGGCGUUUUGUUAUAUUACAUUCAGGAGUAGCUUGGAGUGUUUUAGUUAGUGGCCACCGCUCGGUUCCGCGGAGAAAAUGAGCAGCUACGGUAGGCCGCCGCCAGACGUGGAGGGGAUGACCUCCCUCAAAGUGGAUAACCUGACUUACCGGACUUCGCCGGAGACGCUGCGCCGUGUGUUCGAGAAGUACGGCCGGGUAGGCGACGUGUACAUCCCGCGGGACAGGUACACCAAGGAGAGCCGCGGCUUCGCCUUCGUGCGCUUCCUGGACAAGCGCGACGCCGAGGACGCCAUGGACGCCAUGGACGGAGCGCUGCUCGACGGACGGGAGCUCCGCGUGCAGAUGGCCCGCUACGGCCGGCCGCCGGACUCUAUGUACAGCCGGAGAGGGGCUGCGCCGCGACGGUACGAAGGGCGUUCAGCGAGCCCUCGACGCCGCAGACGCAGUCGUUCCAGGAGCAGGAGCCGCUCCCAAUCCAGGUGUCGCCGUCGCUACAGCCGGUCCAGGUCCCGCUCCUAUUCCCGAUCCAGGUCUCGGUCCAAGUCUAAAUCCAAGUCCAGGACCCCGAAGCGGAGCAAGUCCAAGUCCCCCUCUCGGUCCAGGUCGAGGAGCCGGACCCCCGCCUCCAACCGCGGGUCCAGAUCCAGGUCCAAGUCCAAGAGCCGGCCCAAGUCUCCAGAGGGCAACGGAACAGAGCCUUAGCUCAAACGUUGGAUGCGACAUGACGGUAUUUAGUGGGAUGGGUGGAAUGUCAUAAAUACAUAGAUGAACAGAUGUUUAGUAUUCUGAUGUCUUGAGGUUGCUCUUUUUAAAAUUUCUCAUAAGCAACCAAGUCAGCAGAACCAUGACUAUUUUAGAAAUACAAUAGCCAAGAUGAAUUUGUCUCUAAAGCAUGUGUGUUGUUUAAGUCAAACAAUUCAAAACACAUGCAAAAGAGCGUUUGAAUUGGGCUAAUGUGAGUAUAUAUGGGUGUGCUUCACUCCAAACGUUCACCUAAAUGUGGAAUUCUUUCCUCCAAGCUGCUGAGUCCUGUUUGCAAAGAGAGGAGGAGGAGAUGGGGGUGUGGCAGUAUGAGAGCAGUUAGUGUGUGACCUGCCCAUGUCACCUGCCUGUUGCUGGGGGGGCGAUGGCAGUUGCUCGGGAGCAGGUCACCCAGGCAACGCUUGGUUGUUCAGGAGCAGGUCGUCAUGGUGGUGGUGCGGGGCUGUCAGUUGGUGUUUGAGGUGGUGUGGUGAGGUACGUUCACAGGGAUCGCGGGCGGACGUGCCCGGGGUGGGGCCCCCACCUGCUUCCUGUGCUUUGCCCUCCCGCCUCUCAACCCAAAGGUUUGUUUUUAAAUGAUGCCAGAGUGCAAGAGUCCUGUGUAGAGCUAGUCUUUUGGGAAUGUGGUACUACGGAAGGUGCGUAAACGCAUACAUAUGAGGUGUACUCGCACGUUGUAAAUAUUUGGGUUAAGAGUUAAAAUGGCAUCUUUUCAGAUGCUUUCUUGUUAACUCUGAUCUCUUUUCUUGCAGAUUUCUCAGAUGAUUGCGUCUUUUUGCUGAGGACAUCAGGAUGAGUCUCACCAUGUUCAAGGGGACUCCACUAUUGCCACUGAAAGCAGACUGAAAGGCGCAGUUGUGUAGCAGUUGAGUAAUGCUGGUUAGCUGUUAAGAUGCAGUGCAGUGCGGUGGUGACAUGGUGUGGCGUGUUGCGGUGCUGAGUGCCCGGUCACUGUUCCGGGGCGCUCGACCCUCCGCUGCUGUUUGCCGGUUUGUAAGCUCACAGGUGUGGCAGAUCAUCCAUCCCCUUCCUCCUUGUCCCCAUGCCCUCUUUGAAACCCCUCCUGUGUGCUGUACAGCUCUUUAUCCCUCCUUUCUUUCCUAUACCCUUGUCUGGUUCAUCACUCGCUUUUUUUGGAAGUGGGUCCAGUGUGGCUCACAGUUUAAGGGUUGACAUUAAUUUAAGAAAAAAAUAAGGGCAGUUUCAGCUGCCUCAUCACACCUUUUUGUGCAACGCAUUCCCAGUUAACCUUUUCCAUUUUCUUUAGGUGAGUGCUAAUAAACGUAUUUGUUGAAAAUGA